GCAUAUCAAUAAGCGGAGGAAAAGAAACCAACAGGGAUUGCCUUAGUAACGGCGAGUGAAGCGGCAAAAGCUCAAAUUUGAAAUCGGCCACCAGGUCGAGUUGUAAUUUGUAGAUUGUAUCUUGAGAGCGGAUUAAAGUCUGUUGGAACACAGCGCCUUAGAGGGUGACAGCCCCGUAAAAUCUAUUCUCAUUGUAAGAUACUUUCGAAGAGUCGAGUUGUUUGGGAAUGCAGCUCUAAGUGGGAGGUAAAUUCCUUCUAAAGCUAAAUAUUGACGAGAGACCGAUAGCGAACAAGUACUGUGAAGGAAAGAUGAAAAGCACUUUGAAAAGAGAGUGAAAAAGUACGUGAAAUUGUUAAAAGGGAAGGGUAUUGAAUCAGACUUGGUGCUGUUGUUCAACUGUGUUUCGGCAUAGUGUACUCAGCAGUACUAGGCCAAGGUGGGGUGUUUGGGAGUGAAAAAGAAGUUGGAAGGUAACUCUUCGGAGUGUUAUAGCCUACUUUCAUAGCUCCUCAGGCGCCUCAGGACUGCGCUUCGGCAAGGACCUUGGCAUAAUGAUU
rnacentral:rRNA from 1 species